GAUGAAGAACGCAGCGAAAUGCGAUAAGUAAUGUGAAUUGCAGAAUUCAGUGAAUCAUCGAAUCUUUGAACGCACCUUGCGCUCCUUGGUAUUCCGAGGAGCAUGCCUGUUUGAGUGUCAUGAAAUUCUCAACCUUUUCAGCUUUCUUUGUUGAUCAGGCUUGGAUGUGGGAGUAUGCGGGCUUCUCAGAAGUCGGCUCUCCUGAAAUGCAUUAGCGGGACCUUUGUUGCCUGGCUUUGGUGUGAUAAUUAUCUACGCCAUUGUAGUCAAGCAGCUUAAAAUGAGGUUUCAGCUUCUAACCGUCUCCCCUGAGACAACUUUUUGACAAUUUGACCUCAAAUCAGGUAGGACUACCCGCUGAACUUAAGCAUAUCAAUAAGCGGAGAA
rnacentral:misc_RNA from 1 species